GAGUGUGGGGAGUUUUGGAAAGAGGGGAAAGGGGAGAGAGAGAGGGAGGGGUGAAGAGAUGCCUCUGUCUUUAUUUACCCUCUCUCCUGGUUUCUGGUCCUUGGUUUCGAAGGAAAGGUUCCAGAAAGGUUGCUUGA